GGAUGAAGAACGUAGCGAAAUGCGAUAAGUAAUGUGAAUUGCAGAAUUCAGUGAAUCAUCGAAUCUUUGAACGCACAUUGCGCCCGCCAGUAUUCUGGCGGGCAUGCCUGUUCGAGCGUCAUUUCAACCAUCAAGCCCCCGGCUUGUGUUGGGGACCUGCGGCUGCCGCAGGCCCUGAAAUGCAGUGGCGGGCUCGCUGUCACUCCGAGCGUAGUAGUUACAUCUCGCUCUGGGCGUGCUGCGGGUUCCGGCCGUUAAAAGCCUUAUUUACCCAAGGUUGACCUCGGAUCAGGUAGGAAGACCCGCUGAACUUAAGCAUAUCAAUAAGCGGAGGA
rnacentral:misc_RNA from 1 species